ACUGAGGCAAAGGCAUAAGGCCCCCUCACUUUGGGGUGGGGUUGGGGUUGGGGUGCAGGUGGAGCCUCUGAAAGGCUUUGAGGAGUUUGCAAAUGCCCUGCAGGGGAGCAACUUCGGGUCUCGCUGACCUUUAUCCCUCAGGAGAGGAUCUCCAGUGAGGCUGUGCUCUCCAGGAAUUCUUUGGUGCAGGUAGACGGUGAGGGCAGCUUCCCAAGCCUGUUAACUGCACCUGUGCCUGCUCACGUGGCCACGGCCGCCACCAUCAAGGAGCUCUGGAUCCUGCCCGCGAAGCCAGGACUUUGUCACGAGCUUUGCCCGGACGCAGCAGCCGGAAGCGGUUGGGAGGAUUCAUUCUUGAUGCCACCCAGAGAGGACAAAGGUGGAACGACACACGAAAGGGGCCCGAGACGGGGGCUGGAGACGCGCGGAACCCGGGCUGUGGAGAGGGUGCUGGGGUGCGCGGCAGGGCCAGGGCAGCCCACACGGCGCAUUCUCACGCGAGGUGUGCCCCGUGUCUCCAUCAUUUGCCCCAAACGCAGGAGGGCCCGGGGUCCUCCCGAGGGGCCCCAUGCUGCUCCCUGUCCUGUGGGGCCACCCCGCCAAGCGGGGCACCACUCCAGAGCCGGGACAGCAGCAAACCAGAGCCAGACCCCACAGGUUCCCCACCUUCAGGGCGCUGCUCCCAGGGACCUGUCUGGCCACUUCCCAGCAGGCUGUUUUAACCCGUGCAGAGCUGGUUUCCUAUGAUAAUCUCGACUUUUCUGGGCAGUUGUAAAGAUUGAAAAUCAGACUCCUUCAGAGAGAGUGGGUUGACUUUGUUCUCAAACCCAAGGAAAACGAAGGAUAAGACAUGUUAUUUAUUAUCCUUGUUUUAAAGUUAUUGGGGGCCGGGCGCGGCGGCUCACGCCUGUAAUCCCAGCACUUUGGGAGGCCAAGGUGGGUGGAUCACAAGGUCAGGAGAUCGAGACCAGCCUGGCCAAUAUGGAGAAACAAAAAAAAAAUACAAAAUACAAAAAUUAGCCAGGAGUGGUGGCAGACACCUGUAGUCCCAGCUACUCGGGAGGCUGAGGCAGGAGAAUUGCUUGAACCCAGGAAGCGGAGAUUGUGGUGAGCCGAGAUCGAGACUGGGCCACUGCACUCCAGCCUGGAGACAGAGCGAUACUGUCUCAAAAAAUAUAUAAAUAAAUAGAUAAAUAAAUAAAUAAAUAAAUAACGUUAUUGGGUCAGGUCUGGGAAGAGAUUACUUCCCUAAUCACACUUGGCUCUAACUAAUCCUAAAAUGAACCUUCAGAUCUUGAGAAAACCAGGAUUAAAGACAGAAACCUGGAAGUGGCGCUCACAUGGGCGAGCCCUCGGGGAGGCGUGCUCAGGCAGUCCCGGUUCCGAGACGCUUCACACACUCCCUCUUCCUCCCUGACCUGAGGUGUCCCGGGCUCUGUGCCGCCAGGGCUGUCCCUCCAGGGGCUCUGUCCCUCAGGGGGCUCUGAGGCCCAGCCUCCGGCCUGUGCCCUCCCUCCUCACCUCUGCAGAGUCACCCAAGACCAGUGGCCGCUGGCUCCCCCUUCCGGGGGCCCACCCUGCCCCCCGAGGCCCGUCGGGUCUUGCCUGUCAGGGGCUUUGCUCACUGUGGCCCCUCAGGCAGUCCUGCCCAGUGGCUCCCACAUCCAGUAGGUGGGGAAGGAGUGGUACGGCCCGCUGAGGGCCCCAUGAGGGCCGGGUUCUAAAGGGAAUCUGCCUUCACCGUCCAGUCAGCCCGGUGUCCUCUGCACCAAAUAUCUGGAGCUGAAU
rnacentral:lncRNA from 1 species